rnacentral:misc_RNA from 1 species
AAAAAAAAAAAAAAAAAAGUAUAUGAAAGUUGCCACCAUAAUGAUCUCAUUUAAAGCACAACAUUCAUUGCGAAGUUCAAAGAAGAAAAUAUCCGAAUUUCCAAAAUAGACAUAUUGAAGAAAAGAAGACAGGAGAGGGGCAACGUUAGAUUGCAGACUCCUCUCCCCUAGUUAGAAAAUUGAACAGUAUCUCAAAGCAAUCAAUCAAUCCUUCCUGGCUGCUAAAUUAAGAUGAAACCCAUAAUGCUAUGUCAUUGCAGAUUUUGCCCUCCUGGCAACAUUCAGUUGAGUAAUACGGUGGUGAUUGUGACCACAGAAGAAACAGAAGACGAUACAGUUCAACUUUAAUGAGAAUGAAAAUAAUAUUCAAACAACGAAUGGUUAUUGAGACUUAGAUUUCCUAAAAGUAUCAUCUUCUCUAUUUUUUGUUCACUCUUAAUGUUUUUGUUUAUUCACAACAUAUCACAUAUCAAGCUAAAGUAGUCCAUUAUAAUUUUAAGUAAAAAUGCAAAUUAAUAUAAACAUCACUUUGUAGACAUGGCGUGCAUUCAAAUACUCAUUGUCAAUGCCUUGCAUCAUACAGCCUCAGCUCCAUUAUCAAUCAAUUUGCGAUCAUUUUCCUUGGAAAAACGCCAUACACGAUCUUUUUU